AUUGAACGCUAGCGGGAUGCCUUACACAUGCAAGUCGAACGGAGUGGCGAACGGGUGAGUAAUGUAUCGGAACGUGCCCAGUAGCGGGGGAUAACUACGCGAAAGCGUAGCUAAUACCGCAUACUAUUUGAGCGGCCGAUAUCGGAUUAGCUAGUUGGUGGGGUAACGGCUGACCAAGGCGACGAUCCGUAGCUGGUUUGAGAGGCCGACCAGCCACACUGGGACUGAGACACGGCCCAGACUCCUACGGGAGGCAGCAGUGGGGAAUUUUUGGCAAGGGGGGAAACCCUGACCCAGCCAUGCCGCGUGAGCGAUGAAGGCCUUCGGGUUGUAAAGCACUUUUGGCAGGGAAGCGGUACCUGCAGAGUAAGCACCGGCUAACUACGUGCCAGCCGCCGCGGUAAUAC
rnacentral:rRNA from 1 species